UGCAAAAUAUGUGUACUGCACAUGCGUCAACUAUAAUGCCUAAACUUUCUACGCGGUUCUAAUCGUCAAAAAAAACAAUUAUAAAUCCUGAAGGAUCAAUUAAUUGGUAUACAGUUUAAUUAAAAAAAUUUAAAACUAAAUAAAUGAAAUAAUGUGCAAACCAAACUGUUUACCAUCCACAUUUGAUUGUCGGGCAGAUAGAAAACGAAAAUUCACUCAAAGUGAACCUCGGCCUGCAUUUGUGAAACGGCAAAGACUCACUAAUACUCACUAUUAUCAAGAAGAUUGAAGAGAGGACUAAAAAUGAGAUGUGUCAUAUACCUUUGCCAUCUUGUAGUCAAGAUGUCCAGCCACUUGAAAAUAGGUGUAGUAAUGACAAAGCUAUCCAAGUAGCUCCAGCACAGGAACACAAAGGCAAGGCAAUUGUGUAUUGCCACAUCACCCCUUAAUAUAUCUGAAGCAAGUACAAGUAAACAAUCAGAACCAGCAAAAAGAAAACUGUUGUUCCUGAGGACAAAUUUGACAGUGAUCAGUCAAAUGCAGAAGGAUCAGCUGUUGAGAGUUAUCUCUCUAUAUCUCCACUCCAUCAAAGACUUGUGCACUUCAUUUAUUGAAAUUAAUAUUAAUGAAUAUUAAUUUAAAUUAUCGUGCGAAUUUUGUGGUCAAAACAUUUAAGUGUAUUUUAUAAAUAAAUAUUCAUUCUCAGUA